AAUAGAUACCCUGGUAGUCCACGCCGUAAAACGAUGAGUGCUAAGUGUUAGAGGGUUUCCACCCUUUAGUGCUGCAGCUAACGCAUUAAGCACUCCGCCUGGGGAGUACGGCCGCAAGGCUGAAACUCAAAGGAAUUGACGGGGGCCCGCACAAGCGGUGGAGCAUGUGGUUUAAUUCGAAGCAACGCGAAGAACCUUACCAGGUCUUGACAUCCUCUGCCAACCCUAGAGAUAGGGUGUUCCCCUUCGGGGGACAGAGUGACAGGUGGUGCAUGGUUGUCGUCAGCUCGUGUCGUGAGAUGUCGGGUUAAGUCCCGCAACGAGCGCAACCCUUGAUCUUAGUUGCCAGCAUUUAGUUGGGCACUCUAAGGUGACUGCCGGUGACAAACCGGAGGAAGGUGGGGAUGACGUCAAAUCAUCAUGCCCCUUAUGACCUGGGCUACACACGUGCUACAAUGGAUGGUACAAAGAGCUGCGAACCCGCGAGGGUAAGCCAAUCUCAUAAAGCCAUUCUCAGUUCGGA
rnacentral:rRNA from 1 species